UCCAACCUGCUGUGCAUGUGUGCAUAGCCAUGCCAAAAAUAAUACAUGGAAACUAACAAUUUGGCUGUUCAGGACACUCAGAUUUUAAAAAGAUGAGCACAAAAGAUGGAACAAAAGGCCCCAAAAGACCAGUGUAAGAAAAAGCUGAGACUUGCAAAAAGCCUAAAGACAACAGAAAUUUUUGUUUUAGUUGUGUUCAGAGUAGGAAGAACGAGAAAAAAACGAAAGCUAACUGCUUGAGGCAGAUGGUGUAAAACUGUAAACAGGACGAAAGAGCUGGAUGCCAACACGGUAUCAUUUAGAACAAGUCUCAUCAAACUCUCAUUUGCUUUUUUGAUGGUAUUACCCAACAGGUCAUAUAAGGUAAUUGCUCUGAGCAAAACAUUUUACCGAAGCUCUCGUAAUACUCUCAUGGGCAAGAUAGGAAAACCAAGGUAGCUUCCUAACUCCCUAAGCAACUAAGCCCAUAAUGUAGUCUUCAGUGGACUACAUUAACCUGAAGGCCAGGCGUGCCCCUGUGUUCUGUCCUCUUCAACACCUGAGUAUGAAAUUUGGCCUGAGAACUCAAAUGAUCACAUCCACAGAUGACCCGAAGCUGGGAAGGAUGGAUGCCUGGCAAAUGGUUAAACUGUGGCACAUCCAUACUGUGAAAUACUACUCAGUGAUGAAAAAGAAUGAACUCGUGAUAAAACAACUUCAGUGAAUCUCCAGGUAAUUAGGGAAUUUGGGGUUGCCAGGAAUCAGGGAUGGGGGUGGUAGGGGAUACAUGAAAACUGACACAGUUUUUAAAUUAACCUCUGUAUGACCCUACAAUCGCCCUGCUGUGGGUGCCUCUGACACAAUGCAAUUCCACAAGGAGGGAGCCACUGUCCCCCACUCUGCCACAGACCACCAAAUAGCCUUGAAACAGGCACCGACAGAAACUGCUGGGCCUGGUGGAGUCACAGGGGAGAGAGCGGCUCCGAGAGACAAGAGCAGUGUUGGUGGGUCCUGGGGAUUGGCCCACAGUUUUAUGACCUUCAUAGGGCCCAGCAGAACUGGGCAUUCACCAGCUGCGAAACUUCCUCGAGUGGCCUUGUUCUUGAACACAGGUCCGGUGUGACCCAGGACUGUUUGAGGCACACAUCUACGGUAGUCUUUGUCUCUCGGACAUCGCCUAAGAGUUGUCCUGGGAACAGAAUCUGCUACAGUUCCCUGCAUGCCUGCCCAGAGCUCUGCUGAGGGUGUGAUCAUGGACGCUGGGCUAACUGUGGAGGGAGAGGAGCCAAUCACCCAACGGCUAGGAAUUAGAAAAAUUGCUCCAUCAUUAAGCUCCUCUUUGUCCAAUUUAUAACAUUUUACAGGUCCCAACGCGUGGAAAUUAAGGGGUGGGAAUGAAUCCUGGAAAUGAGGGAGCUGAGAGCCAGGAAGUCGGGGUCCCUGGGUCUGGCACCCACUCCUCAACAGAACCCUGCUUCCACCGCUCCCUGGGCUGAUGCUGCGGGU